GACGAACGCUGGCGGCGCGCUUAAUACAUGCAAGUCGAACGAGAAGCCAGAGCUUGCUCUGGUGGAAAGUGGCGAACGGGUGAGUAACACGUGAGAAACCUGCCCAAAGAUUGGGAUAAGCCUUGGAAACGAGGUCUAAUACCAAAUACCUUCUUUUUAACACAUGUUAAAAAGAAGAAAUGCUCCGGCGCUUUGGGAUGGUCUCGCGAUCUAUCAGCUUGUUGGUGAGGUAACGGCUCACCAAGGCAUCGACGGAUAGCUGGUCUGAGAGGAUGUCCAGCCACAUUGGAACUGAGACACGGUCCAAACUCCUACGGGAGGCAGCAGUAGGGAAUCUUGCACAAUGAGGGAAACCUUGAUGCAGCGACGCCGCGUGCGGGACGAAGGCCCUAGGGUUGUAAACCGCUUUCAGUAGGGACGAAAGUGACGGUACCUACAGAAGAAGCCCGGCCAACUAUGUGCCAGCAGCCGCGGUAAU
rnacentral:rRNA from 1 species